GAAAAGACACAUCUGUGCUGACAAGAUUUAAGAUUCCAGCGCGAUGAAAUUACAAGACGAGACAGACUCUGUGGUCGGAAAUUUGUAUACAGCUGAAAGCCUGAAACUGCAGCAACAUCUAGGGCGCAAAGCUUGACUGUUGGUGUGUCUAACUAAAAUGAACAAGGGUAUGAACCAGUACACACGAGGUAAUGAAGGGGGCAGCUUUGUCUCUAGAGGUCUUUCACCUGACCGUAGGAUAGCCGUCGCCCGUUGAGGAUUGCAGUGGUUGAAGCUUCUUCAGUUUCGUCGGACUUGAAUUUCCACUCUGAAAAUGAACCACCAUACCUGCAUCUCUGACUUUCUUGUGGGCGCAAAUGAGAUUGUGAGAACGACAACCACAACUAUGCUCAAGGACAGCCAGUAAUGUAUUUCCCAACACACCCUGAACUUGCUUUUACAGAUUAUUAUUACAUUUCCUCUACUGACCUACUAGUAGACAUCAUCAACUCAACUAGUAAUAAUGUAUUUCCCAGCUCCUGAAUCACUGCUAUGAUUACCACGCCAUCCAAGUGCAGUAUCAGGAUCAGUCAUGCAAACCAUACCUGCUAGUUUACUGAAACUUAAAUUAUCAGGGAACUCAUGAACCAUCCCCACUUGCUUGCAUACUGCAGGUCAGGCUUCCCUAGAAAAUGGUAUAUGGUAUUGUAGGUAAUAGGUAAUGGAAGCCUUUCAUUCAAAGCUUCCUAUACACUCACUUCCCUCUGGGAACGCAAGUAAAACACUGACCUUGUACAGCUAGGAAUCAGCAAGUUCCUGAAGGAGUCUGACUGACUACAAAUUACACCUUCCCAGAAUUUUCAUAGCAAAGGAUGCAUUCCAAAACAUGCCACCACAUUGUGUGACGAUUCGGUAUUCAACUAGACAGCCUGUGCAACUUCUACUCACUUCAUUCACUGCUACUCAAUGUAAAAUAUUAGGAGACCAUGACAGUUCUAAUGCAAACGAUACAGAGGAGCUGCAGUCCCCUCCACAUUUUCUCAUCCGGGUCGGCAAAGGCAGUGUUAAACUACUCCUACUUAAACACAAAAAACAGCAAACACUACAAACAAUUAUAUUGAGCUAAGCACACAAGCCACGCAAUCAACCAAAGGCGGCAUUGACAUGGCACACGAUUGGCAAUAAAUAUUCAUGCCAUGCGGAACAAACAAAGAAUGCCAUAAAUUCCAGAACCUGAAUGAGAGUGAGCGUGAUUCAAAUCUUGCACAGAGAAAGCUUUCGUAGCAUUACAGCGAAACAGAAUGGUGGCAUGUGUAUAAGUUUUGAGUUAAUCGGCAGGAAUCAUCAAAUUAGUAUUUUUGCUAGUUGCCAACUAAAUUAAAACUAGGAAGUUCCCAGAGAACUGAGAAUAUGUAAUUGAAGAUUUGAGAAUAUGUAAUUAAGAUUUCACAAUUCACAUCAAAUUAGCAGUUUGUCAUGAAGAGAUCAUAGUAGCCAUUAGAGGACCGUAAGAUGUGGGAGCACUUUGUGUUUUUAAAUCCAGGAUGAAUAAAAUACUAAACAAACUGCCAUAUGUUGAAAGUACUUGACAGGAAUAGGGUUGAACAAAAUCCAGAUCCCACUGGAGAAGCACCAGCGAGAAGAACACCACUUCUGAAAAUCUACUCCAUACCAACAAACCAGAAUCAUAUUCAGUGGAGUUGACACUAAUCAAAGACAUGCCUAUUCAGGGCAAAAUAUUCGUUCAAGCUUCCAGUUCAGAUCCUUCAGCUCUCAUUGUUUUAGUAUAUAGCAACAGGAGGUCACUACUAUUAAACCAACACAAGUGGGUGGUAGGAUCUUUCUUGUAUCAUUAUAGUUAAAAAUAUGGGCACACCAAAAUUUGAUUUUCUGUCAUAAGUGCACUCAUGGACAAUAGUAUGUAUAGAAUAGUAAACCCACAAAUCCAAGUGUAAUCAAUUCAUAUAUGUAUGAACAUUUUUACUGCAUUCAGAGCUCACGUACAUGCGAUCUUUACUUCCUAUUAUAGGUGAUAAAUUUGCAAGUUGAAAGAUACAAGCAGCCAAAUAUCAAAAUCCAACUUCCUGAAACAGUAUUUCCAUUUUGAUAAUCUGCUAUACAAACUGAGUACCAACUGAUAUUUCCAUUUUGGACCCUUGUUUGAGACUUCUAGCAUUUUCUUGAUUCAAGCGAAAGAUGAGAUCAUAUUCCAUCCAAACCAGUAGGAUGGCACAACAGAAACCAAAGUAAGAUGCUUCAGGACAGUCGAAAGAAUCAGACGUGCACACUACCAACUCAAAGCUGCACCAAAUAUACGAGGCCCCUGAAUGCAAGUUCAAACUGAAAACUACCACAAAGACCAAAUCAUUAUGCUUCAGGAUCAGUAAUCAGAGGUCAAAACCAUCAGGGAAGUCCAUCUUGCAAUAAAACCUCCAACAAUGCAAAUCAAUGAACAACCCAAAUAUAAUCAGCAUACUUAAAGUUUCUUCAAGGAAAGUCAGACCAUAGUGAAAUCUGGUAAUCAGUUGAAACAAGCAUGGAGUCCAGGUGUAAGUUUUUGUGGUUGAAGAAGAUUCCGAACGAAGAUCCCAAACAGCCAUCAGACGAACAUAAAUCGAAGAACUUAAUGUAUAUUCACUCAAAUCUGACGUCGCCAAGCACAGAUGAGGAAUCCAGUAAACCAAUGCGACCAAACAUGGGAAACUGACCUGCCUCGAGUCCCCUUCACCAUACGUUCACAACCCACAUGGAGCUUUACUUCCACACCAGAUCGAGAUCUAGUCCUGCAAGCCAAAUUGUAGAGGAGGCGACAACAGAUGAAAUCCAUGUACAGAGCAAAGGUUUGGGCCCAAACUCCUAAUAACAAUUAUAUCUUGCCAACCCACACACGCAUAAGAAGAAAACACAGGGAUCAAGAGUACAGAUAACAAGCAUGGAGAGCUAGUCAUUGGCAACAUGGCCUGGGCUAAAUAAAAAUCUGUAACCAUAGGAAGGGCAGGGGAAAAAACCUAUAUCAGAGAGAUGCCCAAGUAACUAAAUGAAAUUAGAAAAAAUAGGAUCGUAUGAGUCUUUUUCGGUUGGAGGAUGUGCCAUUAGUUGAAAGCUCUGGAUUAUCCUCAUAUUCGUGCUGCAUAUGAAUCUGUAUUUAAAAUAGUGUCUAGUAAGAUAAUCAAUAGGUUAUGUAAGUUACAAUGAAUUGAAACGAUACUAGUAGAUUUAGAAGAUCAGCAGACGGAUUCAUCAUCAAGCUGAACAUGAGUUCGUCAACUACAACCUGCAGCAAGCAAUAAAAAAAAAUUUAGGGGCAAAUGCUGCUUAUAAAUAGCUAAAGCACGGACGAAAAGAUGAGUGGGAACAAGCAGGUAUGGAUGAUGGAGGACAACAACGCCGGUUCCAAACUGCAGUUAUAUCCUUUCCAAGUCAGUAUCUGCAAGAGCUGAGAAUUACUAAGGCAAAGAAACCCUAAUGUCUAUAGAGUUCAAUUAUAGAGUAAAAAAGUUUUAGCCACGGAAGGAACCGCCACACCGAGGCAAAAUAGGACCGCCUUCUAAAAACAGAUAGUUUAAAUCAGAAAACUGUGAGAAACCAAAACAGAUCAGUGAAGACGAAAGAGUAAAACAGAGGGAGUGAUAAUUAUCCAAACACAGAGCAUCAAGAUGCGUCGCUCCUGCUAAGCCAUAGCCACCGACAUAUCCAAUUAUAUCCUGCACAUAGGCCCAGACUUCCUAAAUAUAUCCUGCAACUGAUACGUGCAGAAGACCAGCACAGGGAUCAAGAGUACAAACAACAAACGAUCCACACACACAGAGAGAGAGAGAUCGCAAACCAAACAAUUUUAACAGAUUCCGACUCACUACCAGCAUGGUUUGGGCUUAAUCUGCAACCAAAGGGAGGGUAGAAGGAAAAACCUAAAUCAAAGACAUGAACAAGUAACUACGUGAAACAAAAAUAGGAGGUGAGUUAAAACUGGAGGAGUCUUUUUCAUUGUAGGAUGUUCCAUUAGUUUGAAUCUCCAUUGUUGAACCUUGGCAGAUAAAUCUGAAUUCAAAAUAUUGUCUGGUAAGAUAAUUUUAAAGGCUGUCUAAGUUCUGAUGAAUUGAGAAAAUAAUAGAAUUAGAAGAACUGCAAACAGAUUCAAGUCAGCAUCAGGUUGGAAGAGUCAUCAACUACGACCUGCAACGAGGGAGAUACCUUUCUACAAGUUACAAGAGGAAAACUAGGCUCAGCUAAAGCAUGCAUCAAAUGUUGAGGUAAAGGGUAAGUAAGCCUGUCUCGGCCGGAGUCGGGUAGACAACACUGGUUCCAAUUAUUUCGCUCCCAAGUCAGCAUCUGCAAGAGCUGCGAAUUACCAACCAAGGCAAAGAAACUAACAUUUGGAAGUUCAAUUAUCAAGGGAGGAUAAAAGGUCAGAUAUGUUGGGCCACAGAAAGAACCUCCAUGCCGAGGAAAAAUAGGACCACCCGCUAAUCCAUAUAAUUCCAAUUUCUGGAGAACCAGCAAAUAUUCUAAAUCAGAAUUGUCGGGCAACUAAUUGAGCUACGGAGAAGAAAUUAAACAGAGAGAGUAAUGAUCAUUCAAGUGCAGGUCAGCAAGAAGAUAGGUCGCUCCCGCUAAGCCAUAUAAUCCCAAUUUCUGGACAACCAGCAACAAAUCCGAAUCAGAAUUGUCGGAGACUAAAAUUGAAUUGAGGAGAAGGAAUUAAAUAGAGGGGUUCGUAAUCAUUCAAAUGCAGAUCAGCAAGAAGAUAGGUUGCUCCUGCUAAACCUUACUAAGCCCAAUUUCUGAAAACAAAUAUAGAUCAGAACUGCCAAGACUAACUUGUACUGUGCAAACCAAAUAAAUUGAAUCGGGGCAGAAUUCAUUAUCCAAACGCUGAUAGCAAGUUCCAGGUUCCAAAGCUACAUUAUCCAACCAAUCAAAAUGAUGAACAGAAACCAAAUCUCCACCAAUUAACCUCAAUUUCUGGAAAACCACAAACGAAUACAGAUCAGAACUACCAAGGGCUAAAUUGUACUGUGCGAACCAAAUAAAUUGAAUUGGGACGGAAUAUAUAUUAUCCAAACGCAGAUCACAAGUUCCAGGUUGGUAAGAGAUCCAAAGCUUCAUUAUCCAAUCAAUCAAAGAACUACUACACUCCUGCAUCUGCUGCAAGCAAAGGAGCACAAACACACACCAACAGCGCGAUCAGCUGCUGCAAUAAGAAUCCAACAGGACCUCUAAUCCACCUCAUAUUAGCUGAUGAUGAAGAAACACGUGAUGAGAACCAGAAGACCACACGGGCGAUAGCCAUUCAAACCUGACCUGCUCAAAUCCCCUUCAACAUACAACACCACAGGAUCUCCACGUUCCAGAUCCAAUCCUGAAACCAAUGUGUGGAGGAACACAACUAAACCAAACAAACCGUUGAUAGAACACUGACCUGACUCACUGUACAGAGAUUUACCCAUAAGCCCAAACUUCCUAAAUAUGUCCUGCAGUGGACAGGAUAAGAGUACAGAUAACGAAUUGAACCGCUUUGAGAUAUAUUGCAAACCAACCGAUUUUAACAGAUUUCGACUCACUACCAAGUACCAACAUGCUCUGGGCUAAAAUAAAUCUGCAAUGCAAGCCUAAAUCAAAGGCAUGAACCAAGUAGUUUGGUGAAAUAAAAAUAAGAGGCAAGAGUUAUAAAUGGAGCAGAGUCUUUUUCUGUUGUAGGAUGUGCCAUUAGUUUGAAGCUCCAUUCUUGCACCUUUGCAGAUGAAUCUGAAUUCAAAAUAUUGCCUGGUGAGAGAUCUUAAAGGUUAUCCAAUUAAUAAUGAAUCGAAGGUUAUCCAAUUAAUAAUGAAUUGAUUAGAUUUAGAAAAAAUGCAAGCAGAUUCAACUCAGCAUCAGUAUAGACUUUGCGUUUGUCAAAACUGCAACUCGUCAAACCUGAAACGAGCAAGGUACUUCUCUGUAAAUUAGGGGGAAACUAAGCUCAGCUAAAGCAUGCUUCAAAUGAGGAGGAGGUAAAAGUUAUAAGAAAGUCUUGUCUGGGAAAGCCAGGUAGACAGCACCGGUUCCAUCCAAGAUGAUGUCUGCAAGAGCUGAGAAUUGACAAACUAAGGCAAAGAAAACUUGUCUGGUGUGUUUUAAUAAUUAUAUUAUUGAGUAAGAAAUAUUUUGAGCCACAGAAAAAGAACCGCCAUGCCAGGGAAAAUAGGACCACCCGUUCAGCCGUAUAAUUCCAAUUUUCUGGAGUAGGAGCAAGAAAUCGAAAUCAGAAUUCUGUGGAGGCUAAUUGAACUGUGGAGAAAAGAAAAUGAACAGAGAGGGGAUGAUCAUCCAAACACAGGUGAGGAAGAAUGACAAGUCGCUCCCAGUAAGCCGUACAAUCCCAAUUUCUGGACAAGCAUGAACAAAUCUAAUUCAGAACAGACUAAAAUUGAACCGUGUAGAUGAAGGGAUUAAGUAGAGGGGGGUAAUUAAUCAUCCAAACGCAGAU
rnacentral:lncRNA from 1 species